AAAGUUGAGCAUUUUUUUUAUUUGUAGGUUUGCCUGGUUGUAGAGGAUGGAGGUCGACAUAUAUAGGAGUCUCCCUAACAAUAAGUAGUAGUGCUAUUCCUUUACCCUUCUUGGUCAUAGCAAUGUAAUGGGAGCUGCAAGCUUCACGUGUUUUAACUUUGUCAGAGCACUUUGAAAAAGUGGUAUGUGGUAUUUGGAAAGCUGAUGUUGCAUGUGAAGAUUGCAGAUAAGCUUUAUCCAAGGAAAUCUGGCUCUCGAAGUUCGGAGAGCGAUGCCUCUUCGAUUUUCAAACAAGCAAUCCUGUCGGAAAUCUGGCUUUUGAGAUUCAGAGAACUAUGCCUUUUCAAUUUUUGAGAAAGCAAUCUUGUUGGGAGUCUGGCUCUCGAGAUUCGGAGAGCAAUGUCUCUUCGAU
rnacentral:lncRNA from 1 species